rnacentral:misc_RNA from 1 species
GAUGAAGAACGUAGCGAAAUGCGAUAAGUAAUGUGAAUUGCAGAAUUCAGUGAAUCAUCGAAUCUUUGAACGCACAUUGCGCCCGCCAGUAUUCUGGCGGGCAUGCCUGUCUGAGCGUCAUUUCAACCCUCAUGCCCCUAGGGCGUGGUGUUGGGGAUCGGCCAAAGCCCGCGAGGGACGGCCGGCCCCUAAAUCUAGUGGCGGACCCGUCGUGGCCUCCUCUGCGAAGUAGUGAUAUUCCGCAUCGGAGAGCGAUGAGCCCCUGCCGUUAAACCCCCAACUUUCCAAGGUUGACCUCAGAUCAGGUAGGAAUACCCGCUGAACUUACGCAUAUCAAGAAGCGGAGGA